UGCCGCUCACCAGCAGCGGCUCCUCCCCGGGCAGGCCUUGGGGCCGCGGCCUACCUCUGGCCCGGGGCCCUGCCUGGCCGCCUCACGGGUUUUCGUCGUGCCCAGCAUUUUCCAGCGGGUUUCUGCUGUGUCCCUGGUCAUCUUCCAGCCCUCAGACAGUGUUCAGGUGAUCUGGGAAGUGUUGGUGGUCGUGUUUGUACAGAGGAGCCUGAGAGCGUGCAGGUGCCUGUAGGCUGACUAGCGUUUCAGCUGACUAGCUAAAGUGCUUGAGAGAUGUUCCAUCCCUCUGACCAUUUUUGUGGCCCUCCUCCGGACCUGCUCCAACAGGUCCAUGUCUUUCCUGUGCUGAGGACUCCAGAGCUGGAUGCAGUACCCUAGGAACAAAGGGAGGUUCCAGAGAGCCAUUACUUUGGAAAACCUUCCCAGAGCAGGAUCAUCAAGUGCUCUUUCAAGAGCUAACCACUCUUCCUAGUUCUCUGUGGGUACUGGGAAUUGGCCAUGAAAGGAGACUGCAUUUUCAUGCCUGGAAGGGGAAAUGCAUGAUCAUGCAUUCCCAUCCCAUGCCCAUCACAGCUGUGAUGGCCCCUGAGUGGGCAUGGGAGAGCGUUCAGUUGAUUGAAAAACCUUUGAGAUUGACUGCCCAUCAAGGCCAUUUGUUCUUUCUUCUGAAUUGCUAACAACUCCUGCCUGACUUGCCUGUAGGCAUGGCAGGGCAAACCUAACUGUGUAACCCUUGCAGCUUUGGAUCUGACCUUCUGCUUCAGCCUGACUAUGUGAGUCAGUGGAUUGCCUGAGCACAAGCUUGGAGCUCUGCAUUACACUACCUCCAAAUGAUAUUCAUUCAGGUUAUCUGAGGAAGUGUAGGUGCUCCUAUUGGUACAGAGAAACCCAAGAGUGUGCAGCUACCUGACAGCUAACUAGCAUUUCACAUGACUAGGCAAAGUGUUUGUAAGUAAUAGAGGCCCUCAGAUGUUGACAAAAGCAAAACCAAAGACCGCAUUUUCCGCUAAAUUGUCUUCUUUAUGGAAGAGAGCCAGCAUUAUUUCUUGGGAUGGAAGAGUAGUUCCUUCAAAAGGAUUCCUUUAAAAUUGUGUCCUUGUCAUCUAUGGAACAAGGAGACAAGAGGGUGGGGAAACACUUCAAAAAUCCCUGCUGAAAAAAAACACUGGUUACAAGUUCUUUACACAGUCGUGAUGGACUUGGUGGACUGUCCUCCGUGCUCCUAGCUUUUAGCUUCCAUUAGGCUGGCAAGCCUUUCAUUAGAGCUUGGCAAGUAUAGUUGUGACAUGAUACGGCUUUUUCUGUUACAACAUUGUAAGACAAAAAAACUUUAAUGCACAAAGACAGCCAUAAAACACUCUUCAUUUCGCUUCCUGUACCUUAAGAGUCAAGAAGAGUUUGACUGGAGGCCAUCAUAUUCUGAAAUCAAAAUGCAACUUAACGUAAUUAAUAUCCUGCAAACUGUCUUUUAAUUUUCCAAUGUUUAAAAAAAAAAAAAGAGUGUUGUACAUAAACUUCCUAGAAUUUUGGAAUGCUUUAAGUGCUACCUAGUUUUUCUGGGAACAGAAUGGCUAAACUUUUCCGUGAGCUUUGAAGGCUAUUGGGAUGCUUUGGGUAGGAACCAGGUUCCCUCCAGUUAUAAAAAGCUUUUCUUUUCCGACAUCC